rnacentral:misc_RNA from 1 species
UGGAAGCAAAGAGAAAUAAUUUGGUACGUUUGUAAAUAAUAAAAUCACAUCUAACUUUAAGUUUUCUCUUUGUUGAAGAUGAAGGAAAUAUCUGCGUUAAUGUUGCAUACUUAGAUUUUUGUUAAAAAAGCAUGCAACUUGCCAUAGAUUUAGGUUCAAUGAAAAUCUAAAAAUUAAUGGAAAUUUGUUAAAAUCCAAAAGUGAAAUGAUGAAGGCUAAAAUGAUUAUUUUAGUUUCACUAACUUCAGUAGGUGAGAAUAUCUCCCAUUUUAUACUGUCUAUCUGUUUGUUUUAUUUUUACUAUUCUUAUUUACUAAGGCAUUAAGCCAUUAAGUUCAGUUGCCAUUAAAGAAAAUUUAUAGUUGGGUUGGCAUCUUUGUAUUAGCAAUAUAGAAAAACACACUUGUUUUUAUUUUCUAUUUUAAAAAUUUUUUUUCCUCAUCUAGGAAACAUCAUAAAUUUUAUUUUAAAAG